AUGGAUGUGUGCAAAAAGAAGGAGUCACUUCCCAGAGGGUGUCACAGUGACUGGGGCUUCUGGAGGCUGGACAAGGGGGUGAUUCUUUCUGAUCCCAUCAUAGCUGCCUGUUGUGGUACCUGCAGGAGCUGGAUGGUGGAGCCAGAUGAUGGAGCCAGGAUUGGGCAACAACAUACAUUCGAGGCAUCCACCUUUCCUGGACCCCUUUCAACUUCCCCAGGUAUUUCUGGGAGAGCCCAGAGAUGUCACACAUGAACUCUCACGGCCUAUGAAUGAAGAACCUUCUGCUGGAGUGAGGGGCUGCGGAGGGAGGGAGGACGAAAAAUGAGGAUGGGAACGCGACCUAUACCUGCAACCUCUAAGAAGUUGUGAACAGUUGUGCCAAGGGGGCGGUGUCCCCUCCCACUGCGCAUCUUCCGCUGCGCAGGUGCUACUGCGCAUCUUCUAGUGCGCAUGUGCCACGGACGCUUUCUGAGCCCGCGUUUUCCAGAGCCCGCGUUUUCCAGAGCCCGCGUUCCCGUGAACCCAAGUCUAGCUUCAGGCCGGGGUCUCUUCCUAGGCCUCCUACCUGAGUCUGUGAUGCAGGUUUGAGCAUCAGUAUCUGAGACUGACACCAUCUGUCCGCGAUUCUAAGACGCCUCCAGCCCUCACAAGAGCAGCUCUCCUCUGCAAGCUGCCUGAGAAAAAAAGGAAGGAAAAAACCUGAAACCAAGAACUCAUCCAGCCGCCAGUACCUACCAUCAUCCCCAAACAGAAGUUUUUCAGGGCUCAGGUCUGGCUGCCCUGCAUUCCAGGCUUUUCCAGGCUUUUCCCACCUGGCUUCCCCACCCCAGGCGAUGCUGGUAAGGAGAAACCUUUGAAAUAGAUGAGUGCUUUGCAUGAGAAUUGAUAAGUAAUUUAACCUCAGUACAAACUGCUUGUGGAGGAAGCGGUAUCCCUGAAAUAAUUUUAAGGCCAGUGCAUAAAACUCUUAGGUAAAAAUACCUCAGCUAAUGGUUAUUGAUCUUCUGAAAUCACGUUCUUAAUUUUGAAGAUAGUUGAAAGAAGGGGGGAACACCACAAAGAGAGUUGGCAAAUUUCAAACUGCAUGUUGAAUUUUCACACGAUUUAGGCCAAAACGCUCUGCAAUUUGUAGAUCUGUAAAGGUUAAAAUUCCUCAGACCACAUGUUUUCUUGAGCUGCAGAAUCAUGGCCAGGGGCUUGCUAGGGAUGUCUUCAGCAGCAGAUAUUUGUUGCGGGGAGAAAAGCCUUGUAU
rnacentral:lncRNA from 1 species